CCUACGGGAGGCAGCAGUGGGGAAUAUUGCACAAUGGGCGCAAGCCUGAUGCAGCGACGCCGCGUGAGGGAUGACGGCCUUCGGGUUGUAAACCUCUUUCAGUAGGGAAGAAGCGAGAGUGACGGUACCUGCAGAAGAAGCGCCGGCUAACUACGUGCCAGCAGCCGCGGUAAUACGUAGGGCGCAAGCGUUAUCCGGAUUUAUUGGGCGUAAAGAGCUCGUAGGCGGUUUGUCGCGUCUGCCGUGAAAGUCCGAGGCUCAACCUCGGAUCUGCGGUGGGUACGGGCAGACUAGAGUGAUGUAGGGGAGACUGGAAUUCCUGGUGUAGCGGUGAAAUGCGCAGAUAUCAGGAGGAACACCGAUGGCGAAGGCAGGUCUCUGGGCAUUUACUGACGCUGAGGAGCGAAAGCAUGGGGAGCGAACAGGAUUAGAUACCCUGGUAGUCCAUGCCGUAAACGUUGGGCACUAGGUGUGGGGGUACAUUCCACGUUUUCCGCGCCGUAGCUAACGCAUUAGUGCCCGCCUGGGAGUCGGCGCAAGGCUAAACGUUCAAAUGAAUUGACGG
rnacentral:rRNA from 1 species